GACAGAGGUGGCAAGCGUUGUUCGGAUUUACUGGGCGUAAAGAGCGCGUAGGCGGUUGCAUAUGUCAGAUGUGAAAUCCCAGGGCUUAACCCUGGAAUGGCAUUUGAAACUGUGCGACUUGAGGACAGGAGGGGGAAGUGGAAUUCCCGGUGUAGCGGUGAAAUGCGUAGAUAUUGGGAGGAACACCAGUGGCGAAGGCGGCUCACUGGACCGGAACUGACGCUGAGGCGCGAAAGCGUGGGGAGCAAACAGG
rnacentral:rRNA from 1 species